UCUCUGAGACAGGACAUUGUCACAACCUCAGAGCAGACCCAGUGUUCAGUUCUGCAACUGUUUCUCUCGGAGACGGAACCUCGCAGCAGAUGUAGUACUCUGUAGUCCCAACCAUCUUGCAUAUUGAUUCUAACCCCUACUGUCCCAUUCCAGGACCAAAGUUCAACCAUCGCUCAUAUGGUCCUACAGAUGAAACUGAAAGCUCCCAUUGCCCAUGAGACUACGCAAGAGAAAGGCAACUGCUUGAUGUUCUAUGCCUAGCACAUAUAUUCAGCAACCUGGGUGAUAAUUUUCUGCAGUCCAAGAAGUGUGUCUUGAAUGGAACAGGUGAGGCUUCCCAAGAUGAUGAUGGAUUGACAACUGGAGGAUGUUCGAGGUAUACGACGGAGGGAACGAUGCCUUACUUCCUGGAUGGACACUAUAGCCUGUGAUGCAGAGAGCACUGAAGUUCAAGAGCAAGAGAGGUGUUGACACAGAUGGCUCAGAACUGUAAUGCCUGGAGGGCUGUGGUGGUACAGUUGACAUAGAAAUGUAAAGUCGCAGGAGUGAGUGGUCCAAGAAUGGAAAGUGUUCAAAAAUAACACAAGCAGGGCAAAAAUUGGAGACUUUGGCCAGGAUCGUGGCAACAAGAUGCAACGUGGCCAACUGUUGGCAGCUCAAGACUGGAGCUAAGCAGGUCUGAUCAGGAUCAAGGUGGAAGAUGGUUACUGAGCAUGCAAGAGCAGCUUUGGAAGGUGGACAACUGAUGCACAACCUUGGAAUUUGUCCAAAAUGUCUAAAUCCUGAAUUUCACAAAACUGAGCUCCGAGUGGAACUUGAUGAAGGUGUUUCUGAACAUGAAAAGGAUGAAUUAGCCAGAAACUUGGAAGUAAAAGUCACCGGGAUGCACAGAGAUCACCAGACAUGGCAGCAAUGACCACCAAUUUGUGCAGAGGCAUACAUGAACAGAUGGCUUGUGCUGAUAGGAGCAGAUGACUUUUGGGUGUAAGGAGAUGGCUGACAGAUGGAAACAGGCAGCUUACAUAUAGGAGCAGAUGGUGCAUGGAGGGGAGUAUUGUGCUCUGUAGUACAUGAUUUGAAAAGUUGUAAAUCUGCUUAUUGGAGUAAAGAUGUACAAUGUAAUAUCCACACCUGGUAUUCUACUGUAGGUUAGCUAGGACCUUUUUGUUUUCACUUUUAAAAACCUAUGCGAUCUGCCGCACUGAAUGUCCCUCUUGGAUUGUUGGACUGGGUCCGUUAAAUGUCAAAUGGCGUAAAUUGGCCGUCUGAGUGUAACUAUGGCACGUUUCUUAACCGCAAAAGCAGUGGCUGUCUUCAGGUCUUUUCUGCCUCGCAGGCAAAUCUGCAUACCAGCGAUUAUAUGCAUACUUAAGUUUUGCUUUGAAGCAAUAUCAGUGGUACCCUUGUUAAGCAGUGGCAGUGUUCAGGUCUUGUCUGCCUCGCUGACAUAUCUGCAUACCAGUAGUUAUGUGCAGACUUGGCUCUUUCUUUGGAGCAGUACAGUUGUAAGAUAAA